UACGUAGGGGGCAAGCGUUGUCCGGAAUUAUUGGGCGUAAAGAGCGCGUAGGCGGUCCGGUAAGUCGGUUGUGAAAGUCGGGGGGCUCAACCCUCGGAUGCCGAUCGAUACUGUCGGGCUAGAGUCCGGAAGAGGCGAGUGGAAUUCCUGGUGUAGCGGUGAAAUGCGCAGAUAUCAGGAAGAACACCGAUGGCGAAGGCAGCUCUCUGGGACGGUACUGACGCUGAGACGCGAAAAGCGUGGGGGAGCGAACAGG
rnacentral:rRNA from 1 species